rnacentral:rRNA from 1 species
AGUGAACGCUGGCGGUAGGCCUAACACAUGCAAGUCGAACGGCAGCACAGUAAGAGCUUGCUCUUACGGGUGGCGAGUGGCGGACGGGUGAGGAAUACAUCGGAAUCUACUUUUUCGUGGGGGAUAACGUAGGGAAACUUACGCUAAUACCGCAUACGACCUACGGGUGAAAGCAGGGGAUCUUCGGACCUUGCGCGAUUGAAUGAGCCGAUGUCGGAUUAGCUAGUUGGCGGGGUAAAGGCCCACCAAGGCGACGAUCCGUAGCUGGUCUGAGAGGAUGAUCAGCCACACUGGAACUGAGACACGGUCCAGACUCCUACGAGAGGCAGCAGUGGGGAAUAUUGGACGAUGGGCGCAAGCCUGAUCCAGCCAUACCGCGUGGGUGAAGAAGGCCUUCGGGUUGUAAAGCCCUUUUGUUGGGAAAGAAAAGCAGCAGGUUAAUACCCCGCUGUUCUGACGGUACCCAAAGAAUAAGCACCGGCUAACUUCGUG